rnacentral:rRNA from 1 species
ACCAUAAAAAUAUGAGAGUUGGUUGUAGCUGGCUCCUAAUUAAACUUGGGGGCAUGUGCACACCUUUCUCUUUCAUCCCAUACACACCUGUGCACCUGUGAGACAGAUGUUUUGUGGGGGGGAAGGAACUUUAUUGGACCUUCUACUCCCCCUUGACUUCUGUCUACUUAAUUCAUAUAAACUCAAUUUAUUUUAAAACGGAUGUAAUGGAUGUAACACAUCUAAUACUAAGUUUCAACAACGGAUCUCUUGGCUCUCGCAUCGAUGAAGAACGCAGCGAAAUGCGAUAAGUAAUGUGAAUUGCAGAAUUCAGUGAAUCAUCGAAUCUUUGAACGCACCUUGCGCUCCUUGGUAUUCCUUGGAGCAUGCCUGUUUGAGUAUCAUGAAAUCUUCAAAGUCAAACCUUUUGUUAAUUCAAUUGGUUCUGCUUUGGUAUUGGAGGAUUAUUGCAGCUUCACACCUGCUCCUCUUUGUGCAUUAGCUGGAUCUCAGUGUUAUGCUUGGUUCCACUCAGCGUGAUAAGUUAUCUAUCGCUGAGGACACCCUGUUAAAAAGGGGUGGCCAAGGUAAAUGCAGAUGAACCGCUUCUAAUAGUCCAUUGACUUGGACAAUAUCUAAUUUAUGAUCUGAUCUCAAAUCAGGUAGGACUACCCGCUGAACUUAAGCAUAUCAAUAAGCCGGGAGGU